rnacentral:lncRNA from 1 species
GCUCUUUUACUUGUACCCAAAAAAAAACAAAAGCAUUUUUAGCGUCAAAAGUGCUUUUUUUUUUUUUCAUUUUGGUACAGGAAAGCUCUAGCUUUUUCCUCAGAGGACUGCAAUCCCGACAAAACAAAAGCGAUUUCAUAUAUAAAGAAAUAUUGGAUUAAGGCUUAGGUGGUUGGCAUAACUGAGGUGGGGCUUAUGUUGAAGCAGCUUCAAAUGUUAUCCCAUUCGCAUCCAUCUUCACCUCUUUAUCUCACAGUUGCCAUCCUUAUGGAGAAAAUGACUGGGCCGCUCUCAACUGGCUCACUGAGGCUGGCUUCCAC